rnacentral:rRNA from 1 species
CUACGGGUGGCACCAGUGAGGAAUAUUGCACAAUGGGGAAAACCUGAUGCAGCAACGCCGCGUGGAGGAUGACGCAUUUCGGUGUGUAAACUCCUUUUAUAUGUCAAGAAAAUGACGGUAGCAUAUGAAUAAGCACCGGCUAACUCCGUGCCAGCAGCCGCGGUAAUACGGAGGGUGCAAGCGUUACUCGGAAUCACUGGGCGUAAAGGACGCGUAGGCGGGUUGUCAAGUCAGGUGUGAAAUCCUACAGCUUAACUGUAGAACUGCACUUGAAACUGGCAGCCUAGAGUAUGGGAGGGGGAGAUGGAAUUAGUAGUGUAGGGGUAAAAUCCGUAGAUAUUACUAGGAAUAUCAAAAGCGAAGGCGAUCUCCUGGAACAUUACUGACGCUAAGGCGUGAAAGCGUGGGGAGCAAACAGGAUUAGAUACCCCGGUAGUC